AAAGUACUCCCUCGUUCGGAAAUACUUGUCGGAGGAAUGGAUGUAUCUAGACGUAUUUUAGUUCUGAUAUACAUCUAUUUUUAUUGAUUUCUCGGACAAGUAUUUUCGAACGGAGGGAGACCGU
rnacentral:pre_miRNA from 1 species